GACUCGUUAGUCUAGGGGUCAGGACGCUGGAUUUUGAUUCCGGAAACAUCAGUUCGAAUCUGGUACGAGUCU
rnacentral:tRNA from 2 species